GUCCUGGGAUGGGAAUCGAACCCACAAUGUUCCGCUUACCGGGCAGAUGCCAUGUCCACUAGGCUACCCUGGA